CCCUUAAGAAGAAUUUUUUUCUCUAAUUUUUUAUGAUAAAAAUUAGAUCUAAUCUAAUUUUUUAUACUAAAAAUUAUAUAAAAUCUUGAGAUCUAAAAAAAUUUAAAAAAGAGAUCCAAGAGAAGAACCGUUCUUUUCUCUUCUUCUCUCUUUUUCUUCUUGAUCUAAAACUCUAAAGAUCCCCAAACACUCAAUCAAAUUUUUUUGAUAUUUUUUUCUUCAAUUUUUAUGUUAAAAAUAAGAU
rnacentral:lncRNA from 1 species